rnacentral:lncRNA from 1 species
GGAAGAAAAACUAGGGUUUUGUAUUAUUAUUAUGAGAUGAAUAAUACAUCGCCAAGUUCCCCUUAUAUAUAGCCUAGACUCCUAGGUUGGUUCGACUUACGGCCCGGGAAAGAACCAACAAGAAAACCCGGAUCGGAGCUUAUAAUACGCUCGACUCUAAAGAAACGGGCCAAGCCCAAAAUAAUCCAACAAUACGAAAUAAUAAACGAAAUAAAAUACGACUAAACUAAGGGAGGAAAUCGUCAAAUCUCCUCGGCGGCCGAAUACUUCGCUUAGGCCGGGGCGUCCUCUCGCCAUCACCAUGCCCGCUCUGCUCCCUCUCGUUCGUAUCGUACGUCAUCCUUUCCCCGAGCUUCUCUCGCUGCAUACCCUUCUCCGGUGAUGAAGAUACGGACCCCGUAUCAACCCCCCCUCCGUUAGGACAACUCUUGUCCUCAAGAGUUAACGUCGGAAAGCGUCUCGACACCACCUCCAAAGGCUCCCAGGACGGCACACCGCCCUCAUCAUCAUCCCACUGCACCAGCACUGCAUCCACAGCCACUCCUUCCCGCAUAACACACCGGCGACCCACCAACUUCGUAGGGUGAGAGAUCGCCUUCCCCCGCACAAAGUCCGACGGAAACACUGCUGCCACCGGAGACUGCCCCUCAACAAAUGGCCGAAGCAAACUUACGUGGAACACAUCGUGAAUUUUACUCCCCUCGGGUAACGCUAGGCGAUAAGCUACCUCCCCGAUUCUUUCCGUGAUCUCGAACGGGCCGUAGAAACGUCUCGCCAACUUUUGAGAUAAGGGCCGAGCCACAGAAUGUUGCCUAUACAAGUGCAACUUGAGCAACACUCGAUCUCCAACGUUAUAUUCCACAUCCCGACGAUGCCGAUUCGCCGUAGCUCGCAUGCGUUGUUGAGCUUUCAAGAGAUUCUUCCUCAACCAAACAAGAAGCUCACCACGCUGCUUAAUUACUUCCGCAACCGCCGGUGGGCACCUCGCACCCGGCGCUGCCGCCACCAACGACGGGGGUUCCCGGCCGUACAAAGCAUGGUAUGGGGACGUGCCCAAGCCCUCAUGAUGGAAACAAUUGAGGGCCAACUCUGCCCAAGGAAGGAAAUUCGUCCAUUUCGUCGGACGAUCGGCCACGAAGGCACGCAAGUAUUGCUCUAGCCCCCUAUUCUUUACCUCCGUCUGCCCGUCCGUUUGAGGAUGAUAAGCCGUAGAAAAAUGCAACUUAGUCCCACUAAGUCGAAGCAAGUGAUCCCAAACCUCACUUAGGAAGAUGGAAUCCCGAUCGGACACCAAUGACGUAGGAAAUCCGUGGUGCUUAACCACCGUCUCAACAAAUGCAUUGGCCACACGCCAUGCAUCAAAACGCGGAGGUAGAGGGGCGAAAUGCGCAUAUUUCGACAACCUAUCGACCACCACCAUUAUAGCCGUGAAUCCCUUCGACUGCGGCAAUCCCGUAAUAAAAUCCAUAGAGACGGCUUCCCACACUUGGCUCGGAAUUGGAAGUGGUUGUAAGAGUCCGGCCGGUUUCUGCGUCGAAUACUUGGUUGUUUGACAUUCGAAGCACGAAGCAACAAAUUGCUUCACGUCUUUACGCAUGCCCGACCAAUAAAACGUUGUCGCGAGCCGUCGGAAGGUCCGAUCAACUCCGGGAUGGCCCGCCAAAGGAGUUGAGUGAUACUCAUAUAGCAAUGCAUGCUUUGCCGUGGAGGAAGAGGCCACCAUAAUCUGCCUACCUCGAAAAAUCAAGCCGUCAGCCUCUGUGAAAACCGCGGAAGCCUCCCCGGCGGCGAUCUGGGCCUUCAACUCGCGCAACUCGGGAUUCGUGUGGACGUCCUCCUUGAUGAUAAGCAUAAUAUCGGGCACCGGAUGAGCCACUGCUGCCAACAGCGAGCUAUCGGACUCAGCCGCAAGGUCUCCGUCAUCGCGGCGUGAUAAAGCAUCGGCCACGACAUUCGUUGCCCCCGAUUUAUACUCUAUCGUGAACUUAUAUCCCAUAAGUUUUCGCACAUAGAACUGUUGAUCGGGAGUUUGAAUCACUUGUUGAAGCAACUCACGAAGACUCUUUUGAUCCGUUCGAAUAACAAACUCACGCCCUAGCAAAUAUUGUCUCCACUUUUGCACCGCCGCAACUAUAGCAUAGAGUUCUUUGUGAUAUGUCGAUGUCGCACGCCUCCUAGGCCCCAAUUUCUUGCUAAAGAAAGCAAUAGGGUGCUUUUCUUGUAAUAACACAGCCCCUACACCAAAGUCGGAAGCAUCCGUCUCCACACAAAAAACUUUCGAAAAAUCCGGCAAACGAAGUAUCGGAGCCGUGGACAUGGCCUUCUUCAACGCACAAAACCCCGCAUCAGCCGCCGGCGUCCAAAUGAAGGCCUCCUUUUUUAAUAAGUCCGUGAGAGGUGCUGCAAUCAUUGCAUAAUUCGCGAUAAACCGUCGAUAAUAACCCGUUAACCCGAGGAAGCCGCGCAAUUUCUUCACGGAGGUGGGCUUCGGCCAUGAUAACAUAGCAUCAAUCUUUGCCGGAUCGGCUUUGAGGCAACCCUCGGAAAUAAGAUGACCAAGAUACUCCACUGUUGCAUUACAAAACAAGCACUUCGACAAUUUAAUGUAGAACUUGUGCCGGUCUAAUAUCGUAAAAACCUCUCUCAAGUGCUUGGCGUGCUCCGAAAUACUUCGGCUAUACACGAGUAUAUCAUCGAAGAAAACUAUCACAAAGCGACGCAAGAGAGGGCGGAAAAUGUCGUUCAUGGCCGCCUGAAAUGUCGAUGGGGCAUUCGUUAGGCCAAAAGGCAUCACUAGAAACUCAAAAUGGCCAUCGUGUGUUCGAAAUGCUGUCUUAUACACAUCCUCCUCAUGCAUCCGAAUCUGAUGAUAUCCCGACCUCAAAUCGAGCUUAGUAAACACCCUUGCUGCGCCUAAUUCGUCAAAGAGCUCAUCGGCAGUCGGAAUCGGAAAGUGAUCCGCCACUGUUACAUGAUUAAGGGCUCUAUAAUCGAUACAGAAUCUAAACGACCCAUCCUUCUUCCGUAUCAACAAAACCGGCGACGAAAAGGCACUACCACUCCGACGAAUGAUUCCGGACUCUAACAUCUCCCCAACUUGCUUCUCUAUCUCCGUCUUUUGAAAAUAGGGGUAGCGAUAUGGUCGAACAUUCACCGGCUUGGUGUGAGGAAGCAGAUGAAUUUUAUGAUCGAACGGCCGAGAUGGCGGCAAUCCUUUCGGCACAGAGAACACCGCCGUGAACUGAAGAAGCACGUCACGAACCUCCGCCGGGAUCACGCUCGGCAGCUCCAAUUGUGCGUGGGACACGAGAGAUUCGCUCGACAUAGCCAUGACCUCGAAACAUACGGCAUCUCCUUGGUGUAGCAUAAUUGCGGCCAACUGACUUGGUGACACACGCCGGGGGGUUCGAGGCAUCACCCUCAAGAUAAUCGGACGCCCUCGCCAUUGAAACUCCAGCGUCCCUGCCACGUAAUCACUAGUAACCCGACGCAGAGAAUUCAACCAUGCAAGCCCUAGUAUGAUCUCCGAUGCAUGAAUCGCUAAUACAUGAAGAUCCAUAAAUAGCGAAUGACCUUGCACCCGUAGCUCCGCCGCAUUCACCACGUGAUCACAUAUAAUUGAUUCUCCAUUCCCUACAUAAACACGAAAAGGCCGAACGGGAGUAAGAGACAAUUUCAAUUUCUCCACAACACGGGGAUGAACAAAGUUGUGAGUACUCCCCGUGUCCACGAGAAUCGAUACUUCCUCCUUGCCGAGAAACCCUUGAAAUAUCAAGGCGGAUGUGCGAGGGCUACCGUCCAUGCUUAGGACGUGUGAUAAGUCCUCCGUUACCACCUCCGAUCCAGGCGGCUGUGGCUCCGGAUUCUGCCCGACCUCGUCGUCUUCAUCAUCUGAACCCAUAAAGGCCAAAAACUUGCCCUUGCACACGUGCCCGUUGCUCCACUUCUCCGGACAAUACCAACAAAGCCCUAGCUUUGACUUCUCCGCCCUUUCCGCUGCCGUGACCCGCACAACCGGUAACUUUGAGUAAUCUCGAGGUCUCGAACUAGGUAUAAUGGCCGGAGAAGGCGACGGAGAAACCGGCAGCAACGGCCCCGUCGAAGUCGGAGUGGACGCAGCAACACCCGAGGGCCGAAAAUCUCUCCCUUGCCACGGUCUCCGCCCUUGCACCGCAGCUCUAUCCACCGUCGUGUCGAACUCCAAGGCAAGAGACAUCGCAGCUGCCACCGACGCCGGGUGUUGAAAACGAACCUGCGUCUUCACCGAGCUCUUCAAUCCACUCAUAUAGAUUGGGAGAAUCGUCGACUCCGGGACGCCUUGUAUUUGAUUCAGAACCCUUUCGAACUCCCUGUUGUAAUCAGCUACGGAGCCCGUUUGCGAUAACUUCGCGAUCAACUCAAUGUAAUUCACGAAGUAGUUCGGGUCAAAGCGACGUCGAACAUCAUCCAAAAACUUCGACCACGAGACUGACUGAUUACUGGCACGGUAAGCGAAGAUCCAGUCCGUUGUAGGCGGGGCGAAGAGCAUCACAACAUGAUGCAAGCGAUACUCCUCCGGCAUCCGAAUGUGAUCAAAGAAGUACUGCACUCGAGUAACCCAACUGUGAGCCUCCGUUCCAUCGAAAACCGGAGGAUCCAAGCGAAAGAGCUUCGAGGAAUCAGCCGCGGUUGUCGAGGCCUGAAAACGUUGCCCGGGCUGCUCCGACCACGGCCUGGACGAUGGCAAAUCCCACGUGGACGUGGGUUGAGGCGGCGGAGGGUCCCACGCCGACGGGGAUGGCUGGGACUGCGGAACCCACGGCUGGGCAGAAGAGACGGGCUGAAGACGUGGCGCGGACUGGUGCGAUGGAAACCCUAAUCCCCCACGCUCUCCUGCAGCCACCGUCGUCAGCGGAGGAGCAUAGUUGUAGGACGGCCCAGCGGACGUCGCAGCAGAGAUUCCCGGAUUCCAUGCUGGGGACCGCCAACCCUUCGGCAUCCCGUAGGGGGGGUCGGGGUCCGGUGGGUUCGAUGGUUGAGGCGCCUUUCUCCGUUCUUCUCUCUCAUCAAAUCUCGCCUCUAAACGGCGAAUCAAAGCCACCACCUCCUCCAUCGACAUGAGGGAGUGCGCCGACGUCGGAUUCGCUGCUGCCGUCGAAGAAGAAAUUUCCGAAACGACCGGAUUCGAAACCGGAAUUGUCAUCGUUCAAGAUGAAAGCACCAGUUGAUAGGUUCUUCCUACCAAGAUCGACGGACGCGAGGGAGAUCCUCGUCGUACGCGCCGCACACAAACAACGAAAGCAAGAAAAGGAAGAAAAACUAGGGUUUUGUAUUAUUAUUAUGAGAUGAAUAAUACAUCGCCAAGUUCCCCUUAUAUAUAGCCUAGACUCCUAGGUUGGUUCGACUUACGGCCCGGGAAAGAACCAACAAGAAAACCCGGAUCGGAGCUUAUAAUACGCUCGACUCUAAAGAAACGGGCCAAGCCCAAAAUAAUCCAACAAUACGAAAUAAUAAACGAAAUAAAAUACGACUAAACU